UUAGCAAGACAUUAAUUAGAGUUUGUGUAGUGUAAAGUCUACAUCAAGGCUUGCAGCAGUGAUUAAGCACCUGGUGGGAAGGCAGGGCCAAUGUGUGGGAGCUCAGGUGCAGGCUGAUGGGGUUCCAGACCUCAUUUAAGGGUUGGCAGGCGAGGUGAGGGUGUCUUGCUGGAGAGUAAGUAAAAUAAUAAUUGAGCGAAUUGACUCAAUCUGUUUUCUGAUGUAAACUGUCUGCUAUGUUCUCUGACUUUUGAAGUAAAUAGUAAGUUAUGGUGCUUCUAUUUUUUAAAAUUGCAGAAUUCAAUGGUGCCAUUGUGUCAAAACGUUUGCUGUUGGGUAAGCAGUAAAGAGGUGAUGAAGCAGUACAGUACCUGAUUUGGGAAUGCAGAGGUAUAGGCAGAGAAAUUAUCUUUGGAGAUGUGAGUUUUUUUAAAAGAGUAAAUGAAAGGUUACACUUGUUCAUGGCAAAAUAUCUAUCUUUCCUGUAUGAAGCUGAACUUAAAUAUGGCUCCUAAUUGAACAACUUGGUUUUUAAUACCUUGGCAGGGAAAAAAAGCAAGAAUUAAUUGCCAUACAAUUGAAUUAAUUGAGUGUGUAUGAGAGAAUUGUGAAAUAAUUGUGUCUCUGUAGUGCACGUUCUGACCUGAAAUGCUAAUGAUGACAGUAUUUUGUUUCUUUCACUUUUUUUUGUUUUUUCAGGAGCACUUCUUUCCAUCUUUGCAAAUAACUGGAAAUGACUUUUCCAGGUCACGCUUGCAAUAUUUCUCUGUCCUGAGAAGAAGGUGUCACCAUCUGAGAGCUAAAACACUGAAGAAUGGGGAGCGCCUUCCCAUAAUACUGGAGAUCCAAUCCCACUAUACUCAUACAAGCAAGAUAUCUAUAUUUGUGUUAAUCAGCUUUUUCCACUAGUGAAGAGAAGUGGGCAGUUCCAGAGAUCAAAUUAUCUCACCUUUUUUCAGGUAUGUGCUUUACACUUGAUGUUUCUCAUUGCUUCUCGCUGUUUCUUUCCAGGAAUUAAGGGAGUUCAAAUACCAGCAUGUGUGACUUUUUCUGAUUGGAUGAAUGGGGCUUCUGAUCUGACACACUUGUUCCAGUAUCCUGGUAAGAGUCCCAGAUGCAGACUCAACAUCGAACUUCAGAAAGAUCCACACUGGGAAGCACAUGAACACACAUGCAACACGGUGCAUUUGCUUCAGAGGAGACCUCGGGUCUCGGAAGAAGGAAGCAUCUGUACUUCCACGCAUUGAAGAAUGACACUAUGACCUGCUUUUCGCUGUGUUCUUCAUUUUGACAUAGGACAUGCUUACUUCAGUGCCAAGAGGUAUCAUAUGCUGUUAGAUAUGGUCAUAAUGAAUCAGCCAUUUAAGUACCAUAGCUAAGCCUAGUAGAAAGCACUGAUAAACAUAUAACUAACACUAGUUAAAAUAAUUUGAAUUGCUUUUAUCUAUUGUUUUCAUUUGCCUAAAAGAAUCUCGAUUGAUAUGCUUUCAGUAUGCUAAUUUUCAUGUGUGGAAUGUCUGAUCAAUCUAAUCCAUCCUUUCCAGAUAAUAUUCUUCUGUAAGGGAAACUUAUAGUUUAUCCUUAUGCUUCUAUUCUAGACCUUUUCUGGAAAUUAUUUGAAAGCUAGAACAAUGGCAGUUAUAUCUCAGUUAUAUCAGUUAUAUAUGGCAUGAUUUUUUUUUCCUUUAAAUUGUGAUAAAGGAGGCAUCUAUUAUUUUAUCUUUUAUUUUGGAAAAAGAAGCUUCGUUCAGAGAUUUCUAUAGGCCCUCUGCAAGAUAAAGCAUCAAUAAUAUUUGUUUUGAUUAUUAUAUCUUGACCAGCUAGAACGUGAAGCAAUGCUUCAUAAUACUUUAUAGAAGCCAUACACAGUUAGUUUGUAUUUUUGUUAUUGGUCUCCUGUGUUUGCAUCUACUAUUUUCUUUCAAACCUUUUAGAGUUGCUUUGCUAGAGUGGGAUUCUGUACUAGCAGUGUGACAUAUCAAACUGCAGUAUUAUCUAAGAGGAGCUAGUGUCUCUGAUUCUUAGGAAAUUUCUCAUAAGACAAAAAAAAAAAGGCAUUUAUGAAAAAGUGUUUUUUGAAAACGGAUAUAGAUUGAAGAAACCAUUUAGGAAGGAGGAACUGAGACAUUAAUUCCCUAGGUACUAGGUACAAUAAUUUGUCUUAAAUAGGUAAACUAGUACAUUACUCAUACUCUACUUUUAAUGGAAAACUAAAUAUGAAUUUUUGGCUGGGGUAUUUCAGGAAAG
rnacentral:lncRNA from 1 species